rnacentral:rRNA from 1 species
AUUGAACGCUGGCGGCAGGCCUAACACAUGCAAGUCGAACGCGCGGCGGACGGGUGAGUAAUAUCUGGGUAUCCGCCUGAUGGAGGGGGAUCACUACUGGAAACGGUCGCUAAUACCACAUACUCUCAGAUGUCCACAUAUGGGAUUCGCUAGUAGGUGGGGUAAAGGCUCACCUAGGCGACGAUCCCUAGCUGGUCUGAGAGGAUGAACAGCCAAACUGGAACUGAGACACGGUCCAGACGCCUACGGGAGGCAGCAGUGGGGAAUAUUGCACAAUGGGCGCAAGCCUGAUGCAGCCAUGCCGCGUGUAGGAAGAAGGCCUUAGGGUUGUAAAGUACUUUCAGUGGGGAGGCGUUACCAGCAGAAGAAGCACCGGCUAACUCCGUGCCAGCAGCCGCGGUAAUUC